rnacentral:sRNA from 1 species
AAGAUGUCUAAUUUUUCUGCCACUCACUAGUUCCCAGAAUAUGAAAGCAGCAAUUUUGUCUCCUUUCUCAACUCUUCCUUAUGUGCCAUGGAUUCUGUUUUCUUCUUCUUUUUUUUUUUUUUUUUUUUUUGAGACAGAGUCUUGCUGCAGUGUAGUGGCGCAAUCUUGGCUCACUGCAACCUCCACCUCCGGGACUCAAGCAAUUCUCGUGCCUCAGCCUCCCAAGUAGCUGAGACUACAGGCAUGCACCACAACGCCCGGCUAAUUUUUUGUAUUUUAGUAGAGAUGGGGUUUCACCAUGUUGCCCUGGAUGGUCUCAAACUCCUGAUCUCAGGCAAUCCGCCAGCCUCGGCCUCCCAAAGUGCUGGAAUUACAGGCGUGAGCCACUGCGCCUGGCCUAUUUCUUUUUCUUUUUUAAAGAGACAGGGUCUUGCUUUAUCACCCAGGCUGGAGUGCAGUGGCAUGAUCAUAGUUUACUGCAGCCUCAGACUCCUGGGCUCAAGUGAUCCUCCCACCUCAGCCUCCUGGGUAACUGGGACCACAGGCCUGUGCUACCACACCUGGCUAAUUAUCUGUAUUAUUAUUUUUUGUAGAGAUGGGGUCUUGCUAUGUUGCCCAAGCUGACCUCAAACUCCUGGCCUUAAGCGGUCCUUCUGCCUCAGCCUCCCAAAGUGCUCGAAUUACAGGCAUGCAUCACCAUGCCUAGCUUAUUUUUUACUUUUUGUAAAAAUAAGAUCUCCCUGUGUUGCCCUGGCUGUCUUGAAUUGCUGGGCUCAAGCCAUCCUCCCAUCUCAGCCCCCCAAGUAGCUGGGACUACAGGAGUGCACCAUUUCCAAGCUUUUUCUUCUUCUUCUUCUUGUUUUGCUCUUGUCGCCCAGGCUGGAAUCCAGUGGCGCGAUCUCGGCUCACUGCAACUUCCGCCUCAGGGGUUCAAGCGAUUUUCCUGCCUCAGCUUCCUGAGUAGCUGGAAUUACAGGCACCCACCACCUCGCCUGGCUAAUUUUUGUAUUUUUAGUAGAGACAGGGUUUCACCAUGUUGGCCAGGAUGGUCUCAAACUCCUGAACUCAGGCGAUCUGCCCACCUUGGCCUCCCAAAGUGUUGGGAUUACAGACAUGAGCCACUGAGCCCAAUUACUAUUUUUUUACUCAAAACCGCACACACACCUUCCACCCCCUCCCCCCUCUCCAUUUUCCUUCAUAGGGAAGGAAUGUUGCUCUCUGAUAUUCUACUGUCAAUGCUUUAUUCCAAUUUUCUUCCCCUCUCUUUCCACCCUAGACUGCCUGCUCCGGGGGGCCAGGGAUCUCUGUCCAUCUUGUGCUCGGCUGUAUCCCCAGUGCCUUCAGUGACGCCCAGCACAUGGAUGGCGACCACAGAGAAGCCAGAAUUGGGCCCUGCUCAUGAUGCUGGUGACAACAACAUCUAUGAAGUGAUGCCCUCUCCGGUCCUCCUGGUGUCCCCCAUCAGUGACACAAGGUCCAUAAACCCAGCCCGGCCCCUGCCCACACCCCCACACCUGCAGGCGGGGCCAGAGAACCACCAGUACCAGGUAUGGAGCUGGGAGCUGGGAGGGGUGGUGGGGAUCCCACGGAUCCAGGAGCCCCGAAGCUGGGGUGGGGAGGGGUCAAGACAACUGAAACUGGGGGCUUUCCUCCCCUCGUCCCCGCAAGCCUCACGGUCUCUGCUCUCGGAGAAGCCCAAACCGCCUCCCUGAGAAACCCUGGCAAGUCCCUUUUCCUCCCAAGGCUGCAAUUUCCUUCUUUGCAAAAGGGAUCCAAAACCUUGAACUUGCACAGGAGGAACAAGGCCCAGAGAGGGACAGGGAAUUGCCUGGGGCCACACAGCCAGUCAGGUCUCCAGUGAAACCCCACCGCAGAGCUCAGUCCCUCUCCAUCCCCUCCUGUCAGCUGUCUGUCCCUGUAGUUCUGUCUCUCUCUCUCAGUGGCCUACAUAUGUCUGUAUGUCUGUCUUCCCCUUUCUUGGACUCUCUCUCUCUCUCUCUCUCUCUUUCUCUCUCUCUCUCUCUCAGUUUCUCUGGCUGUGUCCUUUUUAAUCUGUCUUUCUCUGUUUCCAGUUUGUUCAUGCUGCCUUGUCUAAGAUGCAUCUCUUUACAUGUCUUCGUUUCUCUGCAUCUCUGUCUCUCUCUCUCUCCAUUCUCUGUCUCUCCUGCCUCUUUGUCUCUGUCACUGUGUCCACCUCAUUUCUUGGCUCUUCCAGGACCUCUUGUCUCUGCAUCUCACUCUCUUUCCACCUUGCUCUUCCAUUCUCUCUGCGGGUUUCUCUCCAUCUCACGCUGUCUCUCAUCCUCUGUCCCUCUCUGUCUCCCCAAGACUCUCCCCCUCCACCCAGUCAUAAUUCUGUUCUCUCUUCCCCCCCAAGCAGGACCUGCUAAACCCCGACCCUGCCCCCUACUGCCAGCUGGUGCCAACUUCCUGAUGGGUCCUGGGCCAGGCCAGCCAGGGAGAAGACAAGGCCCCAGCCCUCCUCUGGGAGCCUCACACCUGAGACCAGCAGGACAAGGCCAUCGGGGGCUGUGGGGCCGAUGGGGUGGACUCAGCCAAAGACUCAGCAGCACAUGGGGCAGGUGUCCUGGCAGGGGGACAGGAGACUGUAACAGGCCCAGGUCCCUGUGCAGCCCCUGAAUGCACGCCCACCUUCGGUCUGUUCCUUCAAGCAAGCUGGCCUGGGCCAUGUGCAUGUGAAAGGCAGGCUCUGGCCCCUUUCCAUGCCAAAGUCCCCCAAGAUCUGGAUAUCUGGGGACAAGAUGGUGGCCUCAGGCCUGCCUCCCAGGCAGUUGGCUGGGCUCCCAAAUGUCUGUCCUCAAUGCCCUACCCCAACUCCACUAGUGACCCUCAGAGUCUUCUCCCCUUAGGACAAGGCAGACACCCCACCAUGCGGGCCUCAGGUGGCAGAGAGGCCCAGCCUCACAGGCCUGUGGCCCCACACACCAGUCCCAGCAAGGUGACCACGGCUGCCGGACCCCUUCCCUGUUCAGGCAGGCCCAGCCCCUCUCAGAACCCGCUGCCAGCUGCUGGUCUUGGCCCCCACCCUGAAUCUCACUGAGUCCCUCUGGGCAGCAGCUCCCUUCUCCACCCCACCCCAGCCCGCAUCCCAAAUGUGGCCUCAGCUUGUCCUCCCCUUCCCCAAACUAUGCAUUCAUUUAGCAAUAAAUGAGCCUUUGCUGUAUGCCAGACCCAGUUCUAAGCUCUUGCAGCCCUGGUAGAAAGCAAAACAAAAACUCCCGCUUUCCCAGAGGGUCACUUGGCAGGGGAAAGAAUCAGGAAAUAAAAUAAAUAAUGAACAUG